UGGGGAAUAUUGCACAAUGGGGGAAACCCUGAUGCAGCGACGCAGCGUGCGGGAUGACGGCCUUCGGGUUGUAAACCGCUUUCAGCAGGGAAGAAGCCUCACGGUGACGGUACCUGCAGAAGAAGUACCGGCUAACUACGUGCCAGCAGCCGCGGUAAUACGUAGGGUACGAGCGUUGUCCGGAAUUAUUGGACGUAAAGAGCUCGUAGGUGGUUGGUCACGUCUGCUGUGGAAACGCAACGCUUAACGUUGCGCGUGCAGUGGGUACGGGCUGACUAGAGUGCAGUAGGGGAGUCUGGAAUUCCUGGUGUAGCGGUGAAAUGCGCAGAUAUCAGGAGGAACACCGGUGGCGAAGGCGGGACUCUGGGCUGUAACUGACACUGAGGAGCGAAAGCAUGGGGAGCGAACA
rnacentral:rRNA from 1 species